rnacentral:lncRNA from 1 species
AACUAUCCUAUACAUUAUUUUUUCAUACAUUGAAUACCUUCUUAAUUCUACAUUUUGGUGCAAUCUUGUAUCCUCUUCAUUGCUUGAGCCUGGGCUAUCAAAUGAUGGCACUCAGCAGAAAGCACAUACCAUCAAUCAUGCCGUGUAGCCCGGCAUUUUCCUGUCCUACUUGUCUCAUGCAUUUCAGCACCAUGUGCAGUCUGUGCGUCCUUUGUUUGAAUUCGACAACAGGCAGCAGCCCUCGCUUAACAACUACCUUCUCUCACAUGCCAAGCACCGACUGGACCAAAGCCAGAUAUCUUUUAAUUUGUUUGCCUCUGGGUCCAUGCCAACUGACCCUCACUGGCAGACCCCUGUCACGAAGGCUGAGCAGUCAGAAAAAGUCGGCCCCUGACGUAUUUUGAAGACAUCCAAAAUACAAUACCAGCUGUUGGUUCCACAAAGGCAUUCCAAGAUUCCUAAUGUUUUGCUUUAUAGUUUAAGUCUUUCUUUGUGCUUUGGUACAAAUAAAGCCUUUACACUCAAGCUCGCUUUCUGUUUC